rnacentral:rRNA from 1 species
UGCAGUCGAGGGGUAUGCCGAUUUAUCGGCAGAGACCGGCGCACGGGUGCGUAACGCGUAUGCAAUCUACCUUUUACAGAGGGAUAGCCCAGAGAAAUUUGGAUUAAUACCUCAUAGUAUAGUGACUCGGCAUCGAGAUACUAUUAAAGUCACAACGGUAAAAGAUGAGCAUGCGUCCCAUUAGCUAGUUGGUAAGGUAACGGCUUACCAAGGCUACGAUGGGUAGGGGUCCUGAGAGGGAGAUCCCCCACACUGGUACUGAGACACGGACCAGACUCCUACGGGAGGCAGCAGUGAGGAAUAUUGGACAAUGGGCGCAAGCCUGAUCCAGCCAUGCCGCGUGCAGGAUGACGGUCCUAUGGAUUGUAAACUGCUUUUGUACGAGAAGAAACACUCCGACGUGUCGAAGCUUGACGGUAUCGUAAGAAUAAGGAUCGGCUAACUCCGUGCCAGCAGCCGCGGUAAUACGGAGGAUCCAAGCGUUAUCCGGAAUCAUUGGGUUUAAAGGGUCCGUAGGCGGUUUAGUAAGUCAGUGGUGAAAGCCCAUCGCUCAACGGUGGAACGGCCAUUGAUACUGCUAAACUUGAAUUAUUAGGAAGUAACUAGAAUAUGUAGUGUAGCGGUGAAAUGCUUAGAGAUUACAUGGAAUACCAAUUGCGAAGGCAGGUUACUACUAAUGGAUUGACGCUGAUGGACGAAAGCGUGGGUAGCGAACAGGAUUAGAUACCCUGGUAGUCCACGCCGUAA